rnacentral:rRNA from 1 species
UAGGGAAUCUUCGGCAAUGGGGGGAACCCUGACCGAGCAACGCCGCGUGAGUGAAGAAGGUUUUCGGAUCGUAAAGCUCUGUUGUUAAGGAAGAACGAGUGUGAGAAUGGAAAGUUCAUACUGUGACGGUACUUAACCAGAAAGGGACGGCUAACUACGUGCCAGCAGCCGCUGUAAUACGUAGGUCCCGAGCGUUGUCCGGAUUUAUUGGGCGUAAAGCGCGCGUAGGCGGUUUUUUAAGUCUGAUGUGAAAGCCCACGGCUCAACCGUGGAGGGUCAUUGGAAUCUGGAAAACUUGAGUGCAGAAGAGGAAAGUGGAAUUCCAUGUGUAGCGGUGAAAUGCGCAGAGAUAUGGAGGAACGCCAGUGGCGAAGGCGACUUUCUGGUCUGUAACUGACGCUGAUGUGCGAAAGCGUGGGGAUCAAACAGG